UACGGAGGGUGCAAGCGUUAUCCGGAUUCACUGGGUUUAAAGGGUGCGUAGGCGGGCAGGUAAGUCCGUGGUGAAAUCUCUGAGCUUAACUCAGAAACUGCCAUGGAUACUAUUUGUCUUGAAUAUUGUGGAGGUAAGCGGAAUAUGUCAUGUAGCGGUGAAAUGCUUAGAUAUGACAUAGAACACCAAUUGCGAAGGCAGCUUACUACACAGUUAUUGACGCUGAGGCACGAAAGCGUGGGGAUCAAGCAGG
rnacentral:rRNA from 1 species